UGGAAAUGAGGAUAACAAGUAAAGCACUGAGAACUUUUGGAGACUUCUAAUCCAACUCUGAUCCAAAUGCUGUA